ACGAUUUUUCACGAUAUUUACUUUUUUGUUCGAAGUAAGGACUCUUUUGCAAGAACUGGACUCUUUUGUUGCAUGUUCGAUGCUUCCUUCGAGUUGGAACAGUGGACACCCCCUAUAUGGUGUAGUAUACUUUUAAAUUAAUUAAAUAUGCUGAAAACGAAAAAGGGAUAAAUAAAAAUAUAUCUCGUCGUCAUUAUAAAAUGUUUAGUCAUUAAAGGUCCCGGAUCGAAAAGAUUCGGACACUUUGGACAACACUGCAAGGAAAAAUAUGAGAAAUGCCGAAACUGCUCACAGCCUCAUCCCAAAGAGGAAGCUUGUUUAAAUACUUUAUGUAUAAAUUGUAAACAGGAGCAUAUUGCUACCUUUCUAAAUUGUCCGGCUAGGAAAAAAGCUUUUGCCAUAAAAAACUUUAAUUCUUUUACCAAUUGGCUUGCUACAUUUUGGUUACCAAGACUUGCUACACAAAGAAAAUUUAUUAAGAAACAUAAUGGAAAAUAAUAGAGGACGAAUGGGAUAGAGCGCCCAAUACACA